UACGGAGGGUGCUAACGUUGUUCGGAAUUACUGGGCAUAAAGCGCACGUAGGCGGUCUGCUAAGUCGGUUGUGAAAGCCCCCGGCUCAACCGGGGAAUUGCGUUCGAUACUGGCAGGCUAGAGGACGGUUGGGGUGAGUGGAACUCCAGGUGGAGCGGUGAAACGCGUAGAUAUCUGGAGGAACACCGGUGGCGAAAGCGGCUCACUGGACCGUAACUGACGCUAAUGUGCGAAAGCUAGGGGAGCGAACGGG
rnacentral:rRNA from 1 species